GGACGCGAGGGCGAUCUGGCUGUGACAUCUGUCACCCCAUUAAUCACCGGGGUUGAGUCAGCUGAUCUGGCUGGCUAGGCGGGUGUUCCCUUCCUCCCUCACUGCUCCAUGUGCGUCCCUCCCUAAGCUGCAAGCUCCAUCAAAGAGGAUGGCCUUCCAGGAAUAGAGAAGGACUGCUCUUCCGGAGAGGGUAUACAUAUGCGUAGCUGCACUCCCCUGUUAGAACUUCCAAAUAAGCUCUCAACUCAGAGUAGAGAACACUACUUAUCCUACUAUAGUUGCUUUUUUUUGAAUAAUUUUAAUUGAUAUAUUAUUAUCUUUUAA
rfam:Erinaceus europaeus unplaced genomic scaffold scaffold00004, whole genome shotgun sequence